rnacentral:lncRNA from 1 species
GAGAGGCUAUCAGGUCGGCUUCCUCAAGCUAACCAUGAAGCGGGGUGAUUGAAAUUCACUAGAGUAGCAAACACGACAACUACAAACACAUUAUGCCCUGCAAAAAAAGUAGGAUCGACAAGUAAUUAUUACAUAUACUGAACAUUUUGAAUAAAAACAUAGGAAAUAAAUUAUAAAGAAUUUACAGCCACUCACAGUUAAGAGUUUACAUUCAUAAAGAAGAGGUGGAAUAGAAGACCACACCAUGAAUCAAAAAUGGGAACCGAAUUGCAAUGGUUAUCAUUAAUCCAAUAAAUAAAAUGCUCCAAAAGCCAUAGAAAGGCACACCUGUUUUAAAUUAUAAUAUUAAAAUCAUUGGAAAAAAUGGCAAAACUAUCAAUAUUAAGUUGACUAGAUGAGCAUAUUAUAAAAAUGAAAAAUAACAAAACAUCAUACAAGUUCUCCUACACUUAUAGUUCGUGGACUAGUCCCCAAUUCAUUAAGCAAAGUACUCACCGGAAAUAUUUCUGCAUUUUGAAUCUGUGCAAUUUGCUUAUAAUUUCGGCAAAGUAGCUACACAAGACAAGAGAAGACAACAGAGAAGAUAAAAUUCAUAUUUGAUCCGUAAAAGAAAAUCAGCCGCACAUGAUAAAAUACUUGUUAUAUUUUUAUAAAUUUUACGAGCCAACACAAAAUCUUAACCAAAAUUGCUCAACAAAAUGACUCUAGGCGAAAGGAUAAAUCACUCCUAUGAGAAGAAUCGGUUUCUCACGGUCGUCACGUCAUAUUAGAAGAACUAUAUGAAAAUUCAACAAUUUUCACACAAAUCCAUAAGCAAUUGGACUCUAAAAUAUAUUAGAAUCAUAAAACCCAUACUUAACCAAACAAGAACACUCACAAC